rnacentral:misc_RNA from 1 species
GAUGAACGUAGCGAAAUGCGAUAAGUAAUGUGAAUUGCAGAAUUCAGUGAAUCAUCGAAUCUUUGAACGCACCUUGCGCCCUUUGGCCAUUCCGAAGGGCAUGCCUGUUUGAGUAUCAUGAACACCUCAACUCUUCAUGGUUUUCCGUGAUGAGCUUGGACUUUGGGGGUCUUGCUGGCCUAUGGUCAGCUCCUCUAAAAUAAAUCAGCUUGCCAGUGUUUGGUGGGUAUCACAGGUGUGAUAACUAUCUACGCUUGUGGUUUUCCACCAGGUAACCUUCAGCAGUGGAGGUUCGCUGGAGCUCACAGAUGUGUCUCUCCUCAGUGAGGACAGCUCUUUGAAUGUUUGAUCUCAAAUCAGGUAGGACUACCCGCUGAACUUAAGCAUAUCAAUAAGCGGAGGA